rnacentral:rRNA from 1 species
CCGUCUUGAAACACGGACCAAGGAGUCUAGCGUGUGCGCGAGUCAUUGGGUGUAUAAAACCUAAAGGCGCAAUGAAAGUGUCCCUUGGGGUGCUCGCAUCCCGUCGGGAGGAUGGGCCUCCGUACGAUAACUCGUCGGAGCCCCGCACUCCCGGGGCGUCUCGUUCUCGUGUCACGAGUGGAGACGCACCAGGAGCGCACACGCUGGUACCCGAAAGAUGGUGAACUAUGCCUGGCCAGGACGAAGCCAGGGGAAACCCUGGUGGAGGUCCGAAGCGAUUCUGACGUGCAAAUCGAUCGUCUGAGCUGGGUAUAGGGGCGAAAGACCAAUCGAACCAUCUAGUAGCUGGUUCCCUCUGAAGUUUCCCUCAGGAUAGCUA